GACGAACGCUGGCGGCGUGCUUAACACAUGCAAGUCGAACGAGUGGCGGACGGGUGAGUAAUGCUUGGGAAUCUAGCUUAUGGAGGGGGAUAACUACGGGAAACUGUAGCCAAUACCGCGUACCAUAAGAUGAGCCCAAUUGGGAUUAGGGUGUUGGUGAGGUAAAGGCUCACCAGGCAGACGGUCUCUAGCUGUUUUGAGAGGAUGACCAGCCACACGGGGACUGUGAACCGGCCCAGAAUCCUGCGGCAGGAAGCAGUGGGGAAUAUUGCGAAUUGGGGGCAACCUGACGCAGCAAUGCCGCGUGAAGGAAGAAGGCCUUCGGGUUGUAAAGUUCUUUCGGUAGGGAGGCGUUAACUACAGAAGAAGCAACGGCUAACUCCGUGCCAGCAGCCGCGGUAAUAC
rnacentral:rRNA from 1 species